UACGUAGGGUCCGAGCGUUGUCCGGAGUUACUGGGCGUAAAGCGCGCGCAGGCGGCCUGUUAGGCCCGACGUGAAAGCCCCGGGCUCAACCCGGGAGGGUCGUCGUGAACCGGCGGGCUUGAGGCCGGUAGAGGUGGGUGGAACUCCUGGUGGAGUGGUGAAAUGCGUAGAGAUCAGGAAGAACACCCGUGGCGAAGGCGGCCCACUGGGCCGGUACUGACGCUGAGGCGCGAAGGCGUGGGGAGCGAACGGG
rnacentral:rRNA from 1 species